rnacentral:rRNA from 1 species
GCAGCCGCGGUAACACGUAAGUUGCGAGCGUUGUUCGGAAUUAUUGGGCGUAAAGGGCAUGUAGGCGGCCCUGCAAGCUUGGUGUGAAAUCUAUGGGCUCAACCCAUAGACUGCAUUGAGAACUACAGGGCUUGAGUCGCUGAGGCGGAACUGGAAUUCCAGGUGUAGGGGUGAAAUCUGCAGAUAUCUGGAAGAACACCAAUGGCGAAGGCAAGUUCCGGGCAGAUGACUGACGCUGAGGUGCGAAGGUGCGGGGAGCAAACAGGAUUAGAUACCCC